GAGUUUGAUCAUGGCUCAGAACGAACGCUGGCGGCGUGCCUAACACAUGCAAGUCGAACGAGAAAGGGAUUUCGGUCCUGAGUAAAGUAGGCGCACGGGUGAGUAACACGUAGGUAACCUGCCUCUAAGAUUGGGAUAACCUGUCGAAAGACGAGCUAAUACCGAAUAAGACCACGGCUCCCUCGGGAGCAGGGCCGAAAGUAGCCUCUACUUGUAAGCUAUCACUUAGAGAUGGGCCUGCGCACCAUUUAGCUAGUUGGUGAGGUAAUGGCUCACCAAGGCUUAGACGGGUAGCUGGUCUGAGAGGAUGAUCAGCCACACUGGGACUGCGACACGGCCCAGACUCCUACGGGAGGCAGCAGUGGGGAAUAUUGGGCAAUGGGCGAAAGCCUGACCCAGCCACGCCGCGUGAGUGAUGAAGGCCUUCGGUCGUAAAGCUCUGUGGGGAGGGACGGAACAAGUUCUGGGCGUAAUCACCAGGACCCUGACGGUACCUCCUUAGCAAGCACCGGCUAACCUU
rnacentral:rRNA from 1 species